GACCUCUCCUCGUCUGCACGGAUGAGUGGCCAACUCAGGAGCCAAGGCUGUUGCUUCCCAGUCUGGUGGUGAAUCUUCCAUAUUCUGAAAGAGCUAGAGUCCCAGACUGCACCGAAGCUUCAUGAGACCUCUCCUCAUCUGUGCACGUUUGAGUGGCUGACUCUGGAGCCCAGGCUGUUGCUUCCCAGUCUGGUGGUGAAUCCUCCAUGGUCUGGUUGAGUCCUUUUCAACUAGUUUUUGUGUUGUUUUUUGAAACCUCAAGUCACUGACUCCUUCAGCAGUGGUUUAAGGAAGUAUCUUAAUUUUUAAAUCACAUGUUGACCAUGCAGCCAAUUGUUGGCCCGUAGAGUGAACAAAACCAGACCACAAGAUUGAGGGCUUGGAGCUGGAGAAAGGGAAAAGAAAAAGCAGACUGUGACUCUCUGGGGAAAGAACUGAAAGAUGACACUAGGAAUUCUCAAAGCGAGAGGAAAAGGAAAGGCCCUUUUUCGGAAAUGACCUCUGAUAAACACACCCUCCAGGGUUACACCUGCCACUGUGUCUUCCACGGACAGACAAGCUGCACUUUAGCAGUCCUGAAUACCUAGAGACUUCCUUAACAGAGAGUGGGGAAUCUCGUCAUCUUGCAUGGGGAUGGGAGCUCGAAGGGAGAACCUCAGCCUUCCAGAAGGUUAUAUAAAACCAGUUGAGAAUUUCCCUAAGAAUGGAGCAGUGGACAAACAAUUGUUAUUGUAAUCCAAAUACAUGAGUCUACCUACAUAAUGGAGAAAUGCUAACUUACAGAAAGGUCAGGUUGGUGUUUGAAUGGUUUUAAUUUCCUUUUAUAAAAUUACAGGAAUUAUACAAUUACAUUGAUUAAUUGUAAUCAGUUUUGAGUCUAGCUAA
rnacentral:lncRNA from 10 species